rnacentral:lncRNA from 1 species
AAUUAAUUAAAAGGAAAAAGUAAAUUAAGGAAAGUUGAUUGUACUCUCUACAGAGAGGACAUGAGCAGAGGAGCAGGAAAGGUGUCCCUGAAGAACUGAUGAAAGGAAAAGGAACCACAGAAACCAAAGUUGGAGAAAGUGCGCAAACCAGGCCAACUGAUCAUUUAUCAAUUCCAUUGCUUCUUUCUGGACAUGCAACCCCUACGUUUUCCCUUGCAGUUAGGUGUGGCCACAUGACCAAGAGUUCUAGCCAAACUAAUGUGAAAAGAACGAUGUGGGCCACCCCGAAACCAGGCAGAUAAAAACUUUCUACCUGUGUUCCUCUAUGCUAUUUUCCCAUCUGGAGGCUGGGUGCUCAUGCCCAGGGUGACUUUGGAACCCACGUGUUGACGAUGGUGAAGCCACAACACAAGGAGCUCAGGUUCCUGCAUCACUGCUUAGAGGAUAGAACUCUGUCAAUCAGGAUAUCUAUUUUAGACUUUCCAUCAGCAAGAAAAAACAAGUCUAUUGUGUUCAAGCCAAUAGGAUAUCAUCGAGGAAAAGCGAUGCCAUAUGGUGAAGAAAGGAUAAUGGUUGUCUCUCCCCCAAGUAAAACACAGGCAAUAAAAAACAGUGAAGUUCCUACCAGUGAGACACAACUAAGGACAUGAGUUUCAGCAUUUCAGUGAGAUGGGUCAUCCAGUAAGACCAGCAAAGAAGAG